UCCCAAAUAUAUUUCUUGGGAGAGUAACUCUCUUCAUCCCAGGUAGAAGCUUAUUCCAUACUUCCAAGAUGUAUCAUGAGACAUCUUUUUGACAUGUUUCUGCUGGGGAGUCUUAUUAGGAAGAUGGUCUC